rnacentral:rRNA from 1 species
UGAAGGGGGCUAGCGUUGCUCGGAAUCACUGGGCGUAAAGGGUGCGUAGGCGGGUCUUUUAAGUCAGGGGUGAAAGCCCGGGGCUCAACUCCGGAAUUGCCUUUAAGACUGCAUCGCUUGAAUCCGGGAGAGGUGAGUGGAAUUCCGAGUGUAGAGGUGAAAUUCGUAGAUAUUCGGAAGAACACCAGUGGCGAAGGCGGCUCACUGGACCGGUAUUGACGCUGAGGUGCGAAAGCGUGGGGAGCAAACAGG